rnacentral:rRNA from 1 species
AAGCGGCAAAAGCUCAAAUUUUAAAGCUGGCACCUUCGGUCCGCGUUGUAAUUUUGUGAGGCAUCUCCGGGUAGGCGCCGGCCUAAGUUCCUUGGAACAGGACGUCAUAGAGGGUGAGAAUCCCGUGCUUGGCUGGCUGUCCCCGUCCAUGUGAGGUGUCUUCGACGAGUCGAGUUGUUUGGGAAUGCAGCUCAAAAUGGGUGGUAAAUUUCAUCUAAAGCUAAAUAUUGGUGGGAGACCGAUAGCGCACAAGUAGAGUGAUCGAAAGAUGAAAAGCACUUUGAAAAUAGAGUUAAAAAGUACGUGAAAUUGUUGAAAGGGAAGCGCUUGAGACCAGACUCGGUGGGGAGUGAUCAGCUGUCCUUCUGGGCGGUGCACUUGCUCCCCUCCGGGCCAGCAUCGGUUGGGACGGCGGGAUAAAGGUCCCGGGAAUGUGGCUCCUCUCGGGGAGUGUUAUAGCCCGGGUGAAUGCCGCCAGCCCCGACCGAGGACCG